rnacentral:tRNA from 1 species
GGGGCGUUGGCUCAGUUGGUAGAGCAGUUGACUUUUAAUCAAUUGGUCGCAGGUUCGAAUCCUGCACGACCCACCA